AGAGUUUGAUCAUGGCUCAGAUUGAACGCUGGCGCAUGCGUAACACAUGCAAGUCGAACGGUGUUUGGUGCUUGCACCAGACAUAGUGGCGGACGGGUGAGUAAUGCGUAGGAAUCUGUCUUAGAGAGGGGGACAACCCGAGGAAACUUGGGCUAAAACCGCAUAUUCUCGAGAGAGGAAAGCAGGGGACCGGAAACGGCCUUGUGCUCUAAGGUGAGCCUACGUCGGAUUAGCUAGUUGGUAGGGUAAAAGCCUACCAAGGCGAUGAUCUGUAGCUGGUCUGAGAGGACGGACAGCCACACUGGGACUGAGACACGGCCCAGACUCCUACGGGAGGCAGCAGUGGGGAAUAUUGGACAAUGGGGGGAACCCUGAUCCAGCGAUGCCGCGUGUGUGAAGAAGGCCUGCGGGUUGUAAAGCACUUUCAGUGGGAAAGAGAAGCGUCUUGUGAAUAAUGGGACGUGGAGACGUUACUCACAGAAGAAGCACCGGCUAACUCUGUG
rnacentral:rRNA from 1 species